GCAAAGGUUAAAGUAAAAGAAACAGAUCUGAUACCGAGUCAGAUUUGUUCUUCCUAAUGGGAAGAACUGUGUGCAACACAGUUCGGGCAGAAAACAUUUAGCUGUUCUUGGGAAGUGUUGCCUUAUAUGACUCUAUUGGAAGUUACUGUCUCACCAUUUUGCUAACCAGAUCCUCCCAACAACCCUGUGAAGAGCAAGUCUUAUUAUUUCAAGUUUCCUGAUGGGGAAAAUGAGACUCUGGGUAGUGAGAGAAUUCACAGGGUUGUGCGGGAACUGGAGCCCUCAGCUAAGCCAGGACAGCCCCCUGAGUGGCUCCCAGGGCAUCCUGCCCGAGCUCCGAGUCUCUGACGCCCGCGUUAGCCUUCGCUGCCUCUGUGCUGACUUCUCUUUUUCACUUGAAUGCGUUUCUUAUCAUCUCCAGGGCUGAGGUCACCCUUUGUGUCAGUAGGAGUCUGUUCUUGUUCCUCUCGGUCCUGGCAACAAAAGAGCAGGAAUUCUGAAAAUCGGCAAUUAUCCCUCCUGGUUCCUUUGUACAGUGCCCCAUAAAUAAUUUAUUUGGAUCGAGGGACUGGAGACUGAAAACAUAUAUUGGAUCUUGCUGCAACCGGGUGGAUUCUACGUUCAGGACUUGAGUGUAGUGGGAAAAAGGAGUGUGCCUUUGAAAUCAGAGGAGACUUUGACCCGAGAACCCAGGUGGAAGUGCUGGAGGCGGGCGGGCAGCGUCAAGAAGGAGCAUUUUCAUAGCACAUAAAGGUCCCUCUCAGGGUUCCCACGUGCAGACCCUACGUGCUUUACGGCUGGGAUUUGCAAACACCGCAGCCUGGAACUGGAAGACUCCGGGAGAGGUCUGAGCUCAGGCACUUUCCAAGUGCCUCCUGCUGCACUCGAUACCUGCAUGAAACAAAGAAAACUGUGUUUGCCAGGCUCGCUCGCUGAAGUCACAGGACUCUGCGUAUCAUGCAGCAGUCUGGAAUUCCUACAAAAACUCAUCAGAAAGGGAAUGUGGCCCGCCACACGGACACAGUCGUCUACCCAACUUUUCAGAUCAAAACGUUCAGUACAGAGUUGAAAAACCAUGUGAUGGUCAUGGAUUUUGUGAAGAGGAACUGGUUUCCCUCCCAGAGAAGAGCCAAAGUUUGUAUCAUCCGUAUGUAUCAAGGCCUGAAGACAGCUGAGCAGCCAGCCAGCAGAUAUGAGAUCCAUAGUCGGCUCUUCUCAUCCCCGAGAGAUCACUCUGCCUGGGAAAGAAAGGAGAGUCUUUCAAAUGCAGGUUACUUUCCAGAGAACAAGUGCAGAGAGUUCUUAAGCACACGUGCUGGUGGUGGAGAACAGAGGCACAGAGGAACGGCAUCUGUGCUGUGGGGAGCAGCACGCUGGCGCUGGUCCCAGGGCAGGGGUUGGUGGGCAACUUCAUUUAGCCUGAGAGGCAGUGGGAAGGGUCCUCCGGGCGGUCAGCCUGCUUCUUCUCUGUCCUCCGCAAGACCUGUGCCCACAGCUGCCAGAGCCCUCAUCACAUCGCUCGCUAUAAAACUGCCAGUUAUCUCUCUCCUCUUCCAGAAUAGCAACCCUCUGAAGGCUAAGGCAUCCCACGUUUAUUGUCAGGCUCACUCUGCACCCGGCACAGUGCCAGGCCUGCUCUGAAUUAACUCACCACGUCCUCACUGUGACCCUCUGGGGCAGUGGUGAGGUAUCCCCACCUUUCAGAUGAAAGAUCCAAACCGUGGAGAUGUUUAUCCAUCAACAGGCAAAGCUGGAAGCUUUGAAUAUUUACGAUUUUGUGGAAGGGUGUCUAAGCAGUGUAGCACUUGAGUGAUUUAAUUUUUGCUGCAGCCAUUUUAUGGAACUACAUAUUAUACAUUAGAGUGUAAAUUACAUACUUUUAACAUUUUUAGUGCUGUGCUGAGUUGUUUACACAGAUCACGUGUACGUAACUUAUGGGUGAUUUAAGGAAUGUUCAGGGCAGUUAGAAACCAAAUGGUCUUUCAGGUUUUGCUUUGAGGUUCUCAAUAAAAUCAACACCACCCAUUUGCCAGAUAUCAAUUUUUAAAUUUUGUUUCCUUUUCUUAAACAAAAGCAAGCACCCUUGAACGUGUACAUCUCUCUUGGGGCAUGUGUGGGAUCCAAUCCUGUAAAUGAACUUGGUGUAUCACAAGACAUGUACAUCUUAAAUAUGGAUAGGUAUUGUCAAACUUACCUCCCCCAAACUCUCCGCCAGUUUAUAUUUGAGCCAGUAGUGUGGGGGAGAACCCACUUUUCAACACGCUAACACUGGGUUUUUAAAGGGGUGUGUGUGUGUUUACCAAACUAACAGAAAGAUACAGUAUCUCGUUGUUGAUUUUUAAUUGAGAUGAAAUUCAUAGGACCAAAGAUUUACGCAUUUUGAAGUGUACUGUUCAGUGGCAUUUUGUCCAUUCGUGAUGUUUGCUUCCACCACCUCUGUCCACUCCUGAGUCUUUUCAUUCUCCCCAAAGGAAACCUGGUAACCCUCAAGCAGUCAUGUCCUCUCCGUCCUCCCCCCAGCCCCUGGCAUCCACUGAUCUGUUGGAAUCUCCUUGGAUUUACCUGUUAAUGGAUAUUUCACAUACACGGAAUCAUACAAUAUGUGACUUUCUGCAUCAGUAUCUUCUUUUACUUAGCACAGUGUCAUCAAGGUUCAUUAAUGUUGUAGCAGCCACGAGUACCCAUCCCUCUUUAUGUCUGCAUGUUAUUCCAUCAUCUAAACGCACGACAGUUUCUUAGUCCAUUCAUCCCACGUUGGGUGUUUGGGUUGUUUCCAUCGUCUGACCGGUGUGAACAGCUCUGAUAUGACUGUUGUCUACAGUAUCUGUCUGAGUACCUGUUUUCAGUUCUUUGGGGUUUGUGUUGUCACGUGGCAAUUCUGUGCUUAACCUUCUGAUGAGACCGUUUUCCGUUCCCACCAUGGCUGUAAGGUAGAGUCCAUUUCUCCUUACCCUCCGCUUUUCUAUUUUUCUGCUUGUUUGUUUUGUGUUCCUUUAGAUCUAAUUAUAUGCAUCCUGCUGAAUAUGAUGCAGCAUUUCAUUGUGGUUUUGGUUAGCAUUUAUUUAAUGCUUUAUAUGUGGAGCAUCUUUUUUAUGUGCUUGUUGGCUAUUUAUAUGGCUUUUUUGGUGAAAUGUCGGUUUGAGUUCUUUGCCCGUUUUUAAAAUGAGUUGCUUGUCCUUUUGUUGCUGAGUUGUAAGAGUUCCUUAUAUAUUUUGGAGUCUAGAUCUUUAUCUGAUAAAUAGUUUGCGAAUAUUUCCUCCUGUUCUUUAGAUUUCACUUACUUGAUAAUAUCAUUUGCUACAAAAGGUAUUGCCUUAUUUUAUUUAAAAGUUGUUGUUUUAAUUUAUAGCGUCCCAGUUGCUAAAGAGCUCUAUCAUCUUUUCAAUGUAUGUUAUCCUACUGUAUUUAUUUUUCUAUGAAAUCCAUGUUCAGAGCAUUUAUUUACUUUUCUAAACUGUUUUCUUCUAACAUAAUCAUAAGAGUUACUUUUAUACCCUGGGUACUAAUAUCUUUAAUAUUUUCCUUCUGUUGCUUCUCUUUUAAUUUGUAGGUAAUAACAUUUUUCAGAUAAAAGUUACU
rnacentral:lncRNA from 1 species